ACAAGCAGCGGAGCAUGUGGUUUAAUUCGAAGCAACGCGAAGAACCUUACCAGAUCUUGACAUCCAAUUGACCAUCUUUAAUCGAGAUUUUGCCUUCGGGUACAAUUGAGACAGGUGGUGCAUGGUUGUCGUCAGCUCGUGUCGUGAGAUGUUGGGUUAAGUCCCGCAACGAGCGCAACCUUGUGUUUAGUUGCAAACAGGUCAAGCUGUGCACUCUAGACAGACUGCCGUGGACAACGCGGAGGAAGGUGGGGAUGACGUCAAAUCAUCAUGCCCCUUAUGAUCUGGGCUACACACGUGCUACAAUGGCCGGUACAACGGGCAGCGAAGGAGCGAUCCGGAGCGAAUCCUAAAAAGCCGGUCCCAGUUCGGAUUGCAGGCUGAAACUCGCCUACAUGAAGUUGGAGUUGCUAGUAAUCGCGAAUCAGAAUGUCGCGGUGAAUGCGUUCCCGGGUCUU
rnacentral:rRNA from 1 species